rnacentral:rRNA from 1 species
AAUGAACGCUGGCGGCGUGCCUAAUACAUGCAAGUCGAACGGAAACACGAGGCACUUUCUCCUCUGACGUUCGCGUCGCACGGGUGAGUAACAUGUGGAUAACCUACCUAUAAGACUGGGAUAACUUCGUGAAACCGGUGCUUAUACCCGCUAAUCUAUUCAACCGCAUGGUUCAAUAGUUAAGGACGGUUUUGCUUUCACUUAUCGCUGGUUCCGCUCGGCAUUAGCUAGUUGGACAGGUAACGGCUUACCAAGGCGACGAUGCGUAGCCGAGCUGAGAGGGUGAUCGGCCACACUGGAACUGAGACACGGUCCAGACUCCUACGGGAGGCAGCAGUAGGGAAUAUUGCGCAAUGGGCGAAAGCCUGAUGGAGCAACGCCGCGUGUGUGAUGAAGGCCUUCGGAUCGUAAAGCACUGUUAGCGGGGAAGAACAGAGGUGUAAGUAAACAUGCACGUAUUGACGGUACCUGAUCAGGAAGCCACGGCUAACUACGUG